AUUAUUUUGGCAGAUUAGUGCAGCAGAUUUAGAAUCUGUUUAAGUAAGUUUAAACUUACAUUUAAUAC
rnacentral:tRNA from 1 species